rnacentral:rRNA from 1 species
GAGGGGCUCGCGGCCUAUCAGCUAGUUGGCGGGGUAACGGCCCACCAAGGCUAUGACGGGUAGCUGGUCUGAGAGGACGACCAGCCACACGGGGACUGAGACACGGCCCCGACUCCUACGGGAGGCAGCAGUGGGGAAUUUUCCGCAAUGGGCGAGAGCCUGACGGAGUGACGCCGCGUGUGGGACGAAGGCCUUCGGGUCGUAAACCCCUGUCAGAGGGAAAGAAGGGUGUCGUCGCUAAUAUCGCCGGCAUCUGACGGUGCCUUCAGAGGAAGCCCCGGCCAACUCUGUGCCAGCAGCCGCGGUAAGACAGAGGGGGCAAGCGUUGCUCGGAAUCACUGGGCGUAAAGGGCGCGUAGGCGGGAUGGCAAGUCGGUCGUGAAAUCCUUCGGCUCAACCGAAGAACGUCGAUCGAAACUGCCGUUCUUGAGGGAUGCAGAGGAGACUGGAAUUCCCGGUGUAGCGGUGAAAUGUGUAGAGAUCGGGAGG